rnacentral:misc_RNA from 1 species
UUUUGAGUGUUAUUAAGCUAAUAACGUUUCCAAUAAAAUAUCGUUUAUUUUCAUUUCACAUUUUAUUCCAAUAAGACGUAUUAUAGUAUUAUAAUUUUUUAAUAAAAGAUGAUUGUUUCAAAACAUCAUCUUCGACUUUUAGUCGGAGUAUUAGUCAUUUAUUGCUGUAUUGAAUCCACUGUUGGAUCAAUUCGUGGUGUGUUGCAAUGAGAUCCAAUCGAGCAAACGAGGAAACAUUUUAGUGGUCCCUCGUUGACUAAAUCCAAAACUAGACUACCGAUGCUUCAACGUCAUCUGAUAUUACGUCUGAUACCACUCGGGUCGAUACAACAAUGUCCGAUACAACUAUCUCGCCAACUGAUGAAACAGUUACACCGAAAAGCCACCGUCGUUGAACAAUUAUUUGGACUAGAAAAACGUCUGGAACGACAGAAGAACCACCGUCGACGAUAACGGAAGCAGGAAAGACAGAUGCACUAUAUUAUUAACUAUAACUGCUGCUAAACAUCUAUAAUGAUAAUAUACAAAUUUGUAGACGAAUAAACAUUACUACAAAUUUGUAUAAAAUAAACGAAAUUGAGUUCGCUCAAGAAUAAAAUAAAAAGAAUAAUACGA